GGAGAUGUCAAGCAGGCCACCGAACAUGUGAAUCUGGAGUUCAGAGGAGAGAUCUGGCUGGAGAUGUACAUUUAGGAACGUACAUAGUAUUUAAAGCUACAGGCUGUCUAAGAUCAUCUGAGGGUAAAUACAGAGAAGGGAAAACAUUCUGAGAACUGAGCCCUGAGGCGCCCCAUCCACUGAGGUCAGGGAGACAAGGAGGCACUAGCAGAGGACACAGAGGAGCAGCCCGUGAAACGGGAGGAGAAAUAAGAGAGCGUGAUGUCUUGGAAGUCAAGCGAAGAGAGUUUCAAGGAGGAGACAGAGAUCAGCUGGGCAAAUGCUGUUAAGAGAUCAGUGCAGCAUACUGCUUUGGAGCAAAGGCUGUAGUCAGACGCCUUCGCUUGAAUCCUGAUUCCUCGGCUGGCCAGCCGGGACGCUUGGCAAGUUCUUAAGCUGAUACAUAGAAGUGAAUCUGAAACCCGUGGAAGGAGGAAGUCAGGACAGGAAAAUGGAAUGGCCGCCUGAACUGUCUAGCCACAGGAGUUCC
rnacentral:lncRNA from 1 species